ensembl:lncRNA
GAGGAUCCCAUCUGGGUGCCUGGGAAGCGAGGGGCGCAGCCCCCCCAGGGGCUCGGUUCGAAGGCACAAGGUCGGGGUGGAAGCGCUCCCCUGCCCGCCGACACGGGGGGGCAGCUUCGGCUGCUCCUGGGGGGGGCCAGAAGCAGAGACCCCAGCCCCGGUGCCUCACCUGCGCCUCUCCCACCCGAUGGGGCUUGGGGCUGCCGAGGGCCCCCGAGCACCCUGCUGGUGAAUCAGCCUGCGGCGGUCCUCGCUGCGGAGCCAUCGAGCCCUCCGUGAGGAGGAGGAGGAGGAGGAGGAAGGCGAUCUGGCAGAGAUGAAUCAUCCCCGAGCCUCCUGGGGAUGGCAGAGCCCGGGGGGUGGCUGGCAGUGGGGGGCGGACGGGGGGAGCCAGGCGUGGGGAUGGGACCCGCCUGGGGGGCAGCACCGUGGCCCCCCAUGUGUACCCGAGGGGCUCCUGCCGCCCCGUCCCCUCCCAGCGCUGUGCUGGGGGCUUGCUGGGGACCUGUGGGGCAGCCGCCGUGGUGCCCGGGGGCUGAGCCCCACUGGGGGGCUCACAUGGCAAAGGGGGGGCCAGGCACACCAGACCCCCUCUGUCCCCCCGGCCCCAUCUCCCAGCCCCUGGCCUGCAUCAAAGCCCCCUUUGUGCCACCGCUGCCACCCCCCAGCCACCGUCACCGUCCGGCCUGCGCAGCCCAAAAUAGCAGCGCGCUCACCUGCGGGGGGGGGGCCUGCGCCUGCCCUCGCCCCCCGCUGCUCCAUAUUAAUAAGCCCCUUCCUCCUCCUUCGCCUCCUCCUCUUCCUCCUCCUCCUCCUCCCCGUCCCACCGAGCAGUCCAGCAGCCGCACCGCAGCGCGCCGAAGCCCCCGCCGAAGCCCCCGCCGCUCGGUGCCGGCCGCCCCCGCCAUGGCCGGCCGCAGCCUCGGGCUCUGCCUGCUCCUCCACGCCUGCCUCUGCCUGGCCCAGCUCCGAGGGCCACCAGGAGAGCCCGGCCCGCGAGGGCCCCCCGGUCCGCCAGGAGUGCCGGGAGCGGAUGGCAUUGACGUGAGUGCGGGCGGCGGGGAGCCCGCGCGGGCUGCGGCACAAAGGGGACAUUGUGCCGGGGCAGAGGCUCGGCAGAGGCAGGGGCUGCGAUGCUGACAGGUUCCUGCUCUGCUCUGCUCCAGGGCUGGGGUGCGGGGCCCCCACGGAGCAUCCCCGUGGCUCUGGGCAGCGCCGGUGGCAGCGGGAGCUGGCGCUUGGGGACAGCCUGGGGACAGCAGCCUGUAGCCUCCUCGGGAAACGGGGCCUGAAAUGCUUUUUUG